ACCACUUGCAAAUCUAUAGGGCUCCCAGUGCUCGGACUGCCACCACAACCACUUACACAUCUAUUCUAUAGGGCUCCCAGUGCCAGGACUGCCACCACAACCACUUACACAUCUAUAGGGCUUCCAGUGCCAGAAUUGCGACCACAACCACCUACACAUCUAUAGGGCUCCCAGCGCCACCACAACCACUUACACAUCUAUUCUAUAGGGUUCCU